UAAAGAAAGCGUAAUAGCUCACUGGUCGAGUCGGCCUGCGCGGAAGAUGUAACGGGGCUAAACCAUGCACCGAAGCUGCGGCAGCGACACUGUGUGUUGUUGGGUAGGGGAGCGUUCUGUAAGCCUGUGAAGGUGGCCUGGGAGGGUUGCUGGAGGUAUCAGAAGAGCGAAUGCUGACAUAAGUCACGAUAAAGCGGGUGAAAAGCCCGCUCGCCGGAAGACCAA
rnacentral:rRNA from 1 species